GCCGGCUGCCGAAGAACGGCCACCGCUGCCCAGCCUGUGUCUCUCCGACGACUACUCGCCUAUGGAGUACGAUCCGGCUACUGACGAACGGCCGUCGCCGUCCACCUGGUCGCCCCCGUGUUUGACGACUCUUCCAUUGAGAACGAGGGAGCUCUGGCCGACAGCCAGGCGCCACCGGCGGCGGACGCCGACCCCGACUGGGCGCCGUCCUCGUCCCUCUCGUCGGCAUCGACAUCACCAGCGCCAGCGGAGAAGGAGGCCUCGGAAG